GCCGGACCAGGGAGCGGCGCAGGUGCAGGCGGUAGUCGUCCAGCAGCAGGUCGUCGUGGCGCACGAGCGGGUACGGGAGCCCGCGGAGACACAGCCCAGAUCGCAGCAGACGCGAGCGAGUCUGGAAGUCGGUAACUCGGCCUCCAGCGCUUGCAGCACCUCCAGAUGGGUGAGAUCCUCCUCUGGCUUAGGGAGGCGGAGACGGAGCCUCAGCCCGCGAAGCCCGGGGUCAUAAGUCCCCGCCACCCUAGACCCCGCCUGCGGAACCUGCCCGAGUCCCAGCUGGCCCUUGAAGGGCAAAGAUCACACUUGAUCCCAGGAUCCUAUCGCUUUUGACAGUGCGCAGAGGACGGAAAUCUUACAGGUACUGCUUCCUGGGGAGAGAGCGAGCGCCCGAAGACCUCGGAGGUCAGGGGUUACUGUCAUCGCUCUCGGGGGAGCUGAGAUCAGAAGGCAUGGGGCCAGGAGCCACUCACGAGGAUUUGACAGGCCUGCCCCCGCUCCGACCCUUCAUCUCUGCGGCCUCUACGUCCAAAAGGAGGGCUCCUGAGGACGGAAAACCCAGCGUCAGCUGCCCUGAGCUCUCCCCAGAGAGCUUAAAUGGGCAUCAUCAAGUGUUGUCCAUGCUACCCCUGAGUGGCUCUUAUGCCAGCUAUUUUUAUGCCCGACUCCCACAAACUCCCUCGUGCCGCGGAGUCCAGCGGCGGAGACGCUAUCCACUCCCAUCUCCUCUCUUCUGACAGCUGUGAUCCUAUUAGGCUCUGCCUAGAGGGGGCGCAAGAGGGCGACGGCAAGGCCGGAGGAAGAUGGGAUUUGCCCCUUUUUACUUCCUCUUCAUCACGCCAGCCUGGCUCCUUCACCUCGGCAGUGGCAGUUGGCUGCAACAGCAGCGUUUGAAUUCAGUUUGUGGUUUUUCCAACACUCUUCAAACCGCCGUUCCUGAUUGGAAUUCACUUAAAACAGCUCUCAAAUCAAACCCCUCUGUCAACCGGUCCGUCUUACUGCCAACUGCUAGUUGUCCCACAUAAUCUAUUUUCCCCUUCUACAGCCCUGCAGUUUUACCUGGCACACAAUCACUCAGCUAGACGCACAGUUCCCAGCCUCCCCUGCAGCUACGUCUGGCCACGUGACCAACUUCUCACCAACAGCGUUGAGGGGUGCAAAUUUUGGAGUCCUUUGCUUAAAAACAGGUUGCUUGUUUCAGACUUGCUGCCCCUUCCCUUGGACUGAACUGUGCAUGUAGCAUGCCCCCAGAUUCAGCCACACUAGAAACAGUGGAGCAACAACAGAGGGAACCUGGGUCCCUGAGUCAUCUUGAGGGGUAGAAAUGUCCCACCCAUCCGGACCACCUACCUCCGGUUGCACAAGAGAGAAAUGCACUGACUUCUUAAUACCGUUGUGUUUGUUGGGGAGGGGGCGGGGAGUCUUUCUGUGACAGCAGCUGAAGGAAGCAGAAAGCGGCCCCUGACAGCCCGGAGCUGCUCUGGCGCUCCCAGCCAGGCCCUGGUGCGCGCUCCUCCCACACAUAAACAAUUUCACAGAACCCCAGCACCAGCCAAGACCACUCGGUGACCACGAUGAACCAAAGUAGAAAUAAGACCACACUGGAGUCAGGUCUCAACACAACAAAACAUGAAUCGUGUCCAAACCACAAGACAGACCAAAAAUCUCUCUCUUGGCUCAGAUGCGGCUGUUGUUUUCCCAACCACAAUGUCAGCUCCAUUCAUUCCUUCUGCAUCACAGACUUGCCUCCACUUACUGCCAGCAUCCCCUCCAGAGCAAAGCCUGCUUCCCUGAACCCUCCCAAAGUCAUGUAAUCCAGCCCGGCUCCCAUAAUAAGUCCUUAGCACUGUUGUACUGAGACAUUCCAUGUGUCAUGGUCGCCCUCAUUCACGGUCUAUAAAUUCAGUGGUAUGCUGGUAAAUGUAUAAUCUCUCCUCUCUCUCUCUCUCUCUCUCUCUCUCUCUCUCUCUCUCUCUCUCUCUCUCUCUCUCUCACACACACACACACACUGCAGCAUUUGCCAGUUUUCAUGGUGUCAAUUCUCCCACCAUGACCAAUUUCUAGCUCCCUCCAGUUUCAACAAUCAGUUUGCAAACUUCAACAAUCAGGUCUUAUGAGCUGGUACAUAAGUACGCAGCUACGUCACAGCUAUGCUCCUCGUGGUCUCUGACACAACUCAGCUUGUACCAUACUAAGUCCCCCUCUCUGGUUCUUGUCCUCCCACCUCCGCAGGGCAGUUGAGGUGAUCUUUUCAUCUCAACUUCUUGCCAUGAGUCCCACGCUUACAAACCACCAGCGGCUUCCUCUUGCCUUUAGGAUAAAGUCUUCCCUGUAAUGGGGACUCGCUUCUCAGUCCUGGAAGCAGGACUUUGUCUGAAACACGGCACUUCAGGGCCCGCCCCAGACCUCCUAGGUCAGAAGCAGCAUUUUAAUAAGAUCCCCUCUGAGAAACAACUGCCCUGCAUGUGGUCACCUCUGUUGACCUCUCUGAUCAUUUUCCUCCAGCUAAAUUGGCCUCCCCUCCACCCCUCCAGUACAGUAAUCUUGUCACAGAGUGAAAAGCUCAGCAUCUCUGCCUUCACACUGUCUCUCUCUUCUUUGCUGCCUUAAAUCUUUGGGUCAAACAGCUUCUGCUCUUUCCUGCAGUCCUGCACAUGGGCUUGUUGAUCAUCGAAGGGGAUUUCGCUCAUGACUUAAGAUGAUGCAACCAGCCCCUUCCCCAAAAGCUGCCUCCCCCUAGGAGAUAAAGAAGUAUGUACAAAAAUGAUGACUGGAUGGUCAAGGACUUUUGGGAACGUCACAGGCCACAAAAGGACUGGUGUCAGGUAACCAAGGACAAGGAUUUUCCCAACCCUCCUGAGUCCCUUGCUGACGUCCAGAUGUCCGAGGGAUCAUCAUGUCCUGACCACAGUCCCCUCCAGUUCCUCCUUCCCAAAUAAAAAAGAAGCUUGAAAUCA